AUGACUCCAGUGAGUGGGACAAUGAAGUUUAUAUCGGUUCAGAAUUUCAAGAGAUCACCACCAAUAAUGCUCCAGAAUCUAAAACUUCCAAAGAUGUCUUCGUGUCCAAACAUUCGUCACAGAGCAGUGAUGAAACAAGAACAAAGAUGCCAAUCAGGUGGGGAAAGCCCUGAUGAUCCCAAAGAUGACAACCCAGAACAGUCUUUCAGGAGAAGGAAACGUGCUUUGGACAUUGAUGGGAACCAAUUGGAGGAAGAGACAAAGCAGACCGAAAUGUCCGUCUGGUUUGGAGAUGGACUGACUAGUGCCUUCGGUUUUGAUGAAAAAGCUCCAGAGGAAAGGAGGUGGAAGAGCAACCCCCAACUUCUAACUCCUGGUUGAAUAUUGGCAAUAGAGAUGUCUUAUAUUUUGUCAGUCUUAUCAGGAUAAAGUUAAAUAGAGAGUACCAGCAGCAGGCAGAGAGGAAAACAUUGAUCCAGAUGAAAUGAUAUAACAGACCCACAGGACCUUGACUUAAGUGAGUCUCAUCAUGAUGCUACAGUGGAGCAAAUAAAAUAAACAGAGCACCACAGAGAUGAUGACACUGGUAAGGAGACAGAGAGAACAGGGGAUUAUGACUACGGUCAAGCAGACCGUCAGGAAGAAAUGGUGGUGAAUUUAGAAAAGAGGAAGAUGCAGGGUGGUAUGGCAGAAUCUAUAACAAUAUUGCAGACCUUUAUGGGGAACAGGAUAAUGAAGAGGAGGAGGAUAUAGUUAUAGACAAGGAUAAAGAGUAUAAAGAUAUCAGCCUUCAGUCAGAAGUCUCAGUCUGUGUUCUCAUCCAUGUUUGACACUCUGGCAUCACUGUUUCAGGCAGAUACCGAUUAUAAAAAUGCUCAAAUUGAUGAGGUAACAGAUAUAAAACCGGCAGCCGCAGAUGCCAAUAGAGAGAUCUCCGCUACUCCUCAGAUGGCCAUCCCAAAAUGAUGGUAAUGACAGCAAUGAGGCUCCACAUCCCCCUCCAUUAGAUAUACAGUGGGGAGAACAAGUAUUUGAUGCACUGCCGAUUUUGCAGGUUUUCCUACUUACAAAGCAUGUAGAGGUCUGUCAUUUUUAUCAUAGGUCCGUGCACUUCAACUGUGAGAGACGGAAUCUAAAACAAAAAUCCAGAAAAUCACAUUGUAUGAUUUUUAAGUAAUUAAUUAGCAUUUUAUUGCAUGACAUAAGUAUUUGAUUACCUACCAACCAGUAAGAAUUCCGGCUCUCACAGACCUGUUAGUUUUUCUUUAAGAAGCCUUCCUGUUCUCCACUCAUUACCUGUAUUAACUGCACCUGUUUGAACUCGUUACCUGUAUAAAAGACACCUGUCCACACACUCAAUCAAACAGACUCCAACCUCUCCACAAUGGCCAAGACCAGAGAGCUGUGUAAGGACAUAAGGGAUAAAAUUGUAGACCUGCACAAGGCUGGGAUGGGUUAAAGGACAAUAUGCAAGCAGCUUGGUGAGAAGGCAACAACUGUUGGUGCAAUUAUUA
rnacentral:lncRNA from 13 species